rnacentral:rRNA from 1 species
UACAGAGGGUGCAAGCGUUGUUCGGAAUUAUUGGGCGUAAAGGGCGCGUAGGCGGCUUGUUAAGUCUUCUGUGAAAUCUACGGGCUCAGCCUGUAAAGUGCAGAGGAAACUGGCGAGCUUGAGUGUCGGAGAGGAUAGGGGAAUACCCGGUGUAGAGGUGAAAUUCGUAGAGAUCGGGUGGAACACCAGUGGCGAAGGCGCCUAUCUGGCUGACAACUGACGCUGAGACUCGAAAGCAUGGGGAGCAAACAGG